GUUUGCUUAACUAAGUGGAUAAUGUGAUGGCAUUUAAAGCGAAUAGUACUGGGUUCGAGUCCAAGAGUAAACA
rnacentral:tRNA from 1 species